rnacentral:rRNA from 1 species
UACGUAGGGCGCGAGCGUUGUCCGGAAUUAUUGGGCGUAAAGAGCUCGUAGGCGGCCUGUUGCGUCCGCUGUGAAAUCCCAGGGCUCAACCCUGGGCGUGCAGUGGAUACGGGCAGGCUGGAGGCAGGCAGGGGAGAACGGAAUUCCCGGUGUAGCGGUGAAAUGCGCAGAUAUCGGGAGGAACACCGGUGGCGAAGGCGG